AAGCCGUCCACACUGCGUGAGCUGGAGCGCUAUGUCACCUCCUGUUUGCGGAAGAAAAGGAAACCUCAAGCUGAGAAAGUUGAUGUGAUUGCCGGCUCCUCCAAGAUGAAGGGCUUCUCGUCCUCAGAGUCGGAGAGCUCCAGUGAGUCCAGCUCCUCUGACAGCGAAGACUCCGAAACAGGUUAGGUGACUUGUGUCCUACGUGUCUUACCAAACGCCUCCCACGUGUGCCUGGCACUAGCUCGGUCCUGUGUCCAGGAUGCUAGAGCCCAGAGACGGCACUCCCAGAACUUGCUGGGUUCCUCUGUCUGCCUGUCUCUUUGUUAACUGUCUCCCUGGGGCCAUGAAUAGCCCUGCACUCUGUGCAGUAGUGUCCAUUCUCUCGGCCUGGCCGUCAUGCUCUCCCUGCCAGGGGCUGGUCAUGGAGGAUGAAUGGCCAAGGGCGUUGACACUGCGGAGCCCUGGAUGGUGGGCGGGGAGGCUGGGCCAUGAGGACUGUGGGCGUGGGGGCCCAGGCUGUGCUGUUGACCUUGAUGUGACCGCUCCCAGCUUUCUGCCCCAGAGGAGACUUCGUGUCCCCAG
rnacentral:sRNA from 1 species